UUGAGCCGUAUGAUGGGAAACUAUCAAGUACGGUUCUUAGGGGACAAGGGCGGAGCAAUCCGCCUGCGUUACCCGAC
rnacentral:ncRNA from 1 species